GCCUCGGAAGUGUAGUGGCAGCACGCGUCCUCGGUAUGGAUGGAACGCGGGUUCAACUCCUCCCGCCUGAGGUG